AUGCUUCCUGUUGGAUAUUCCACUACAUACUUGAUCAAGUUCUAUUAUUAUUAUUAUUAUUAUUAUUAUUAUCCAAAUGACUGAUUCACGAAAUAAAGGCUUUUUUUCCUGAUAAGUAGGUCAAUCUUGGCCUUUUUUCUUGGAUUUCUAUGGCCAUUCCUUGUGGAUAUAAUUUCAUGAUUGACCUUUAUGAGAAAAAUGUAGGGUUGCAUACCAAUGAGAAAAGUGACAAGGUGGAGCAUAUCCAAAGAAGGUCAAGUUUGCUUAUUCGUAUUUAUUGAACCUCGGUUUUCUGGUUCUACUUCUCCACGAAACCCCAAAAAACAAACAAACAAAAAAAAAGAUCUGGUGGUUCAACUACAUACCUGGUGGAAUGUUGUCUAGACUUUGCUAGUUUUGCAAUUGACCAUGCCGACUUUGAAUGUUGGCAACGCUGGGCAAAUAGCUGCUCUAGUAGAUCCUAAGUAGGAUAGAUAAAGACUGGUACUAAGUUGGAGCUGCAGUAUAUAAUUCUCUAAGGAACUGAUGAAGUCUCAUAGAUGUUCAGCCUAAUCUACAUGCUCAUCCUACACCAGAAAAUGCAUGCUGGGAUAGUAUUCCAUAUUCUUCUUUGGUUCCACCCAGACCUUUCCUGUUCUAGCUCCUUGGUGGUUCUUAGCAUGACCAAUCUGAGACCCAAAAGGUUUAGACAAUACGCCAUAACUGGGAUGCUGGGCAAUCCCAGCCUCUUCCCUAUGUGGGUAGCUUUUGCUGCAGAUUUGCAAUCCUUGUUCAGAAGAUUGUCUUGUCAAACAGGUUUCAUAAGCCACUACGAAGAGUUAAACCAUCUUAUAUGGUGCUUUUUUGGAGAUCCGUUUUCAGCGCUAGGAUGAGAGAUUUCUGACCAUAUCCUGCAAGUAAGCAGAGAGUUGUAGCAAGAUUCACAGUGAAGACCCUAUUGCUCUGUAUUGUCCAAUUUAGCCUGUCUGCUUUGAGGUGAGACCGUGAAAGCCAGUAAAUUGAGAAACUAUACUAUCCUUUUCAAUUCCCAAUAACUCCUGAAGACAAUGUUCCUGCCAUAUUUACUUCUGCAAUAUCCAACUCUAUUUCUGUAUUCUGGAAAACGGUCAAAGGAUCAAUGAAUCGUUGUUUGAGCUCCAGUUAUCAUGCGAGAAGGUAUCCUGCAGCAUCACUUGCCUUGCAGCAGAUUCUGUCAACUAAACCAUUCCAAUUUCCUUGAUAUGUUUCCUGUUUCCAUACCCCUAACUGAUGAGGAGUUGUCACGCCAAGCAUUCUGCAUCCCAUACUUUUCUUUCAUUACUUUCUUCAUUAGGGCCUAUUUAAAGACUCAUCUCCCGAAAACCACUUUCUUGGAGCCUUGGGCUAUUCCUUCUCAUUGGCUGUGACAGAGCUCCACCUCUCCAGCUGAUACGCCCUCUUGUUCCUUAGUAGAACCAGAUAUCUCCUAUGGUUAACCCGUCUCCUCUAUUCUUUGCUGGCAUAAGGAACAA